rnacentral:tRNA from 1 species
GUCCGUCUAGCUCAGUUGGUAGAGAACCAGUCUUUUAUCUGAGGGUCGUGGGUUCGAGCCCCACGGUGGGCA